GACGAACGCUGGCGGCGUGCUUAACACAUGCAAGUCGAACGGAAAGGCCCUGCUUUUGUGGGGUGCUCGAGUGGCGAACGGGUGAGUAACACGUGAGUAACCUGCCCUUUACUUUGGGAUAACUUCAGGAAACUGGGGCUAAUACCUGAUAGGAGCUCCUGCUGCAUGGUGGGGGUUGGAAAGUUUCGGCGGUUGGGGAUGGACUCGCGGCUUAUCAGCUUGUUGGUGGGGUAGUGGCUUACCAAGGCUUUGACGGGUAGCCGGCCUGAGAGGGUGACCGGCCACAUUGGGACUGAGAUACGGCCCAGACUCCUACGGGAGGCAGCAGUGGAGAAUAUUGCAAAAUGGGCGGAAGCCUGAUGCAGCAACGCCGCGUGCGGGAUGACGGCCUUCGGGUUGUAAACCGAUUUCGCCUGUGACGAAGCGUGAGUGACGGUAAUGGGUAAAGAAGCACCGGCUAACUACGU
rnacentral:rRNA from 1 species